rnacentral:lncRNA from 1 species
UGCCUCCUGUACUAAUGUGUUUAUGGCUAUUUCCCACCUUCUCUUCUAUGCAAUUUAUUGUAUAUGGCUUUAUGUUGAAGUCCUUCAUCCACUUUGACUUGAAAAUUGUGCAGGGUGAUAAAAAUGGAUCUGUUUUCUUUUUUUCUGCAUGCAGACAUCAGUUAAGUCAGUAUCAUUUGUUGAAGAUGUUUUCAUUUGUCCAUUGUAUGGUUUUGUCUUCCAUGUCAAAUUCAAGAGUCCAUAAGUGUGUGGGUUUAUUUUGGGGUCUUCAAUUUUAUUUCAUUGAUCAACAUAUCUGUUUCUGAAACCAAUUCCAUGCAGUUUUUAUCACUAUUUCUCUGUAUUACAGUGUGAGGUCAGGGAUGAUGAUUGCUUCACAAGUUUUUAUUUAUUUGUUUGUUUGUUUUUGUUUGUUUAUUUUCGUUUGUUUUGAUUAGAAUUGUUUGACUCUCCUGUGAGCUUUUUUUUUUUUUUUUUUAAUUUCCAUGUGAAGUUGAGAAUGGCUCUAAACAUUUGUGUUGGAGUUUUGCUGAGGAUUGCAUUGAAUCUGUCUCUUGCUUUUGGUAAGCAAUCUACUAUGUUCCUUCUACUAAUCUAGGAGCAUGGGAGGUCUUUCCAUAUUCUGAUAACUCCUUCAAUUUCUUUCUUCAAAGACUUGAAGUUAUUUGUCAUAGAGUUCUUUCACUUACUUGGUUAGAGUUACACCAAUAUAUUUUGUAUUACCUGUGGCUAUUGUGAAGGGUAUCUUUUUCCCUAAUUUCUUUCUCUGCCCCUCUAUCAUUUGUAUAAAGGAGUAGAACUGUUUUCUAUGAUUUAAUUUUGUAUCUAACAACGUCUUGUGAGCCAUUCUUGGGCUCAGCUCCAGUGCACCAGAGUAUUCCUUGCUAAAGAUGGCAUUUCCAGUGCUUCCUGACUUUUAGCUUUGGAGUUAGCUCCACACUACUUUGAUCUCUUCUCAAGCCUUUCUUUGGUUUUGUUUUUAGCAGAACUUAGUUCUUUCCAUGUGCAGAUCUGUCUAUAUGUAGCAAAUAAAAUCCUGGAUGGAUUAUUCUUUAGUUUUUAGCAGUUGAUUUUUGUUUUCUUUUCAUCUUAAUUUCUUUCAUGUAACUCUGAUCCAUUAUUUUUAGAAACUUUGCAAAAUACUCUAUUUUGUUCAUUUGCAAUCACAAAUUAUUGAUAUUGCUUAUAAUAGUCAGUUGUACUGGGAGGAGAAGCUUACAUAUUAAAAUAUACUAAAAUAUUUUAUCAUUAAAUUUUAUCAUACACAACACACGUGCGUGAGCACGCACACACACGCACACACACACACACACACACACACACACACACACACACACCUAUUGAGGUAAGAUGUCAUAAUUUUCUUGGUGUUCACUGUAUAGGCAGGACUAGCUUUGGCUUCUUAUCCUCCUUCAAUCUUCUGAGUAGUUGGAACUAAAGGUGUGUACCUCCAAGCCAUGUUAUAUUGCUUCAAUUUUCUUUCCCACUGUUACUAGUGAAUAGAGACUUUGUUGUCCAUUUCAUUCUUUAAAUUUUGAGGAAUUAAUAAGGAUUUCCUUUUAUUUGAAACAAAUUAAUUCAACAGUUUCUCAUUUUUCUUAGAGAAAAACAAGCCCUUACUGUCUGGCUUCUCUGCUGGCACCCUAUCUCCUCAGCUUCUGUCUCCCACACAAAUCCUGUUGUAGGGAAGUAGACUUUGUAUUUCCUGUGAUGCAGUUUAAUCUCUCAUUUUACUCAGAUUCUUUCUGAAUAUAUUCCAGUUUAGCAGCCCACACUAAACCUGGAAUUUAUGCUUUGACUUCCUCACCAGAGAUGAAAUGCCUUUAGGAAUCAGUUCAGGAAACAACAUUCUGGUAGGAAGUGUGAAAAGGUUCAUCAAUUUCUACCAAAAGAGAAUGGAAGACAUGCUGGUGUUGACCAGCCUUGUAUCAUAUGUUCAUAUGACUUUUCAAAAACAGUAUUUUCUUUUUGGUUGUUCUUGUCUUCCCUAAGGGAGUCCCCAGAAGAUGAGUUAUGUUUGGCUAUUAGCAGUUCAGAAUUCAUAAUAUUUUAUUAGAAUAUCAUCUGAAGUAAUUUUUGCACAAGUAGUUAAAGUAAGUGCUUUUAUAAGACCAGCGAGCAUCUUGUGCAGGAAUAUUACAGCUCUCUUCCCACAGAUUCUAUUGGCAAUCUUCUGUUUUGUGAGGAAAUGCAUGAUAUAUUAAGCUUUUUGUGAGUUUUAAAAACCUCUUAUUUCCUACUUAGCACAUUUACAUGAUAUCAUAAAAAGUGGAUUUUUUUUUCUGAUACAUGAAUUACCAUUUAGAUGUAUGCAAAGCUAAUUACCACACUUCCUUCCUGCAGGGAUUUGGAGUGUCAGGGUGGAGAAUAGACCAUUACUGAGAUUUCUUUUCUUUUGUUUUAUUUUUUACAUGGCUAAAGAUGCCGGUCUAAGAAGAUAUUUCUAUAGUCCUUUUUAGGAUACUUCUCUUGAUAGUAUGUUGCAGUUGGCUUUGAAGUAACUUAUCCUGAGGAACAAUCUGUACAGAGCCAUGGAAGACAUCCCUAAUUCCCUGAAUAGAAGAGAAAGCAAACAAAGGAAAACAAAACUUCUUCACCCUCUGCUUUUCUAUAAAUUUGUCUUUGUUAUUAGUCCAUCUUUGUGAUUGUCAGGCUAUGAAGACUGUGACUAUCAUACUGUUGUUUGGCAGCAAGUAUCUAAAUUAUAAGAACAGAAACAAGGGAUAUGCCAGACUCCAAUGUUUGUAGCCAGUUAUUUCUUGGCAUUUGUUAAAAUAUAUUUUGCACAUACAAGAUCCAAACAUACUCCCAUCAAAACCGUGCUUGAUGUCAUAUAAGUCUGCUAAAUCCUAAUUACUAUGUUUUCUAACUAGAUUCAUGUGCUUAUUGUUCCAUCCAUAAGCUUUAUAAUAAGUGUUGUUCAAAACAUUGGGUUCCAUAUGUGUAUUUGGUUAUGUACUUUGACCAUACAAAUUACUUCAACAUUUAAAACAAAUAUACAAAUAAAUAAAACAAAAUCUACUUACUUCCAAACAUGAGAUCUGAUAUGUUGUGAUUAAUAUCCAUAGUAUUUUUCCAUUGGAAAGAAUUGAUUUUCCCUUCUGCAGCAUAUAUAAGUGACAGUUCACUUGUUAACCUUUACCCACAUGGCUAGGGUUUGAUUCUUUGAAAAUAUAACAAAAUAAAAUAUAAGACAAAACAAAAACUAUCAAGUAGAAGUUGGGCAAGACAAAACAAUAGUAGAAAAAGAGCCCAAGAGAAACCAUAAGGGUCAGAGUAUAUUGAUUCAUAUACUCAGUAAUCUCAUAAGAAUAAUAAAUUGGAAAUGAAAAUAUCAAUUCAGAGAACCAAGUGUGGCUCUUUGAAAGUUCUAAGCACCAUUCAUAAGUCUCUUUGAGCUGAUAUCAGCUUUGAUCAUGUUGAUGUAUAGGGCCUUGUAUUAUUGGCAUCCUACAUUUUCUUGCUACUAUUAUUUGCCUCUACUGUUUUUUGCUGCCUCCUCUUCCUUGUGGUUCACUUAGCUCUGAGAGGAGGGAUUUGAUGGAGACAUCCAUUUACAACUGAUAGUUCCAAGUUCUCUAAUUCUCUGUGUGAUGGCUGUCUACAGAUCUCUAAAUUUGUUCCAAUCUGCUAUAGGAGGAAGCUUCUCUGAUGACAGCUGAACAAGAUAAACC